rnacentral:rRNA from 1 species
GGGUGAACGCUGGCGGCGUGCCUAAUACAUGCAAGUCGAGCGCCCUGCACAGUGCGCUUCUUGGCUUCGGGACAGGACGCGGGGAUUUUUCUGAAAGAAAAAUCAGCCGCAUCAAUCACGAAGAGAUUGAAGGUCUGAAGAGACUAAAACAAGAAGAAGCGUAGCGUGCAGGGAGCGGCGAACGGCUGAGUAACACGUUGGAACCUGCCCUAAAGUAGGGAAUAGCUCCGGGAAACCGGAAUUAAUGCCCUAUAUGCCUUCGGGUGAAAGAUUUAUCGCUUUAGGAGGGUCCCGCGGCUGAUUAGCUUGUUGGUAGGGUAAUGGCCUACCAAGGCGAUGAUCAGUAGCUGGUCUGAGAGGAUGACCAGCCAGAUUGGGACUGAGACACGGCCCAGACUCCUACGGGAGGCAGCAGUAGGGAAUCUUCCACAAUGGGCGAAAGCCUGAUGGAGCGACGCCGCGUGCAGGAUGACGGUCUUCGGAUUGUAAACUGCUUUUAUAUGGGAAGAUUAUGACGGUACCAUAUGAAUAAGAGUUGGCUAACUCCGUGCCAGCAGCCGCGGUAAUACGGAGAACUCAAGCGUUACCCGGAAUCACUGGGCGUAAAGCGUUGCGUAGGCGGUUUGUUAAGUCGGAUCUUAAAGUUCAAGGCUCAACCUUGAAAAUGGGUUCGAAACUAACAAACUAGAGGAUGGUAGAGGUCAGUGGAAUUGCUGGUGUAGGAGUGAAAUCCGUAGAUAUCAGCAGGAACACCAAUGGCGAAGGCAGCUGACUGGGCCAUUCCUGACGCUGAGGCACGAAAGCGUGGGGAGCGAACCGGAUUAGAUACCCGGGUAGUCCACGCCGUAAACGAUGGAUGCUAGCUGUCGGGAGUAUCGACCCUCUCGGUAGCGAAGCUAACGCGUUAAGCAUCCCGCCUGGGGAGUACGGCCGCAAGGCUAAAACUCAAAGGAAUUGACGGGGACCCGCACGAGCGGUGGAGCGUGUGGUUUAAUUCGAGGCUACGCGAAGAACCUUACCAGGGCUUGACAUGCACAGGAAUGUCGUGGAAACACGGCAGCCCUUCGGGGCUUGUGCACAGGUGGUGCAUGGCUGUCGUCAGCUCGUGUCGUGAGAUGUUGGGUUAAGUCCCGCAACGAGCGCAACCCCUGUCCCAUGUUGCCAGCGGAUUAUGCCGGGGACUCAUGGGAGACUGCCGGUGACAAAUCGGAGGAAGGUGGGGAUGACGUCAAGUCAUCAUGCCCCUUACGUCCUGGGCUACAAACGUGCUACAUUGGCCGGUACAAAGGGCUGCAAACCCGUGAGGGGGAGCGAAUCCCAAAAAGCCGGUCCCGGUUCGGAUUGGAGGCUGAAACUCGCCUCCAUGAAGGCGGAGUUGCUAGUAAUCGCGGAUCAGCAACGCCGCGGUGAUACACUCCCGGGCGUUGUACACA